AAGUUCACUAAGAGAGACUAGGUUACAAGAUGAAGUUUGGAAAAUGCUUAAAACAUGCCCUCCAGGUUUUUACCCAGCACAGGGACUGACCACACAACCUUUGGAGCCUGAGAGCUGGGACUACCCUAUUCUCUGUACAGUGCAACUAGGUCUGCUUUCUUUGGCAUUCAGGAGGCACACCGUUCUGCUUUUCCCUGCACGACAUCAGAAGUGUUUCCAAACAUUGCGUGUAUGAGGUUCAGCAACAAUUACACCAACAGCACCAUCAUGUUUAGACGGAAGAUAUACAGGAUCGUUUUUCCAGUCAUUGCAAUGGCACAACGCUUAUGUUGCAGCUUUUUUGGGCUCAGUUUUUUUUUGGCUCCUGUAUGCUUGAGUGCAUCGCAGAUAGCACAUUAUUCAAUAUGAACUGCUCUACUUUUAAACAGACUCCAGUCGACUAAAAAGGCAUAGAGGUAGAUGGAAAGUGUCCAAUCCGUAUGAUGACUGGGUAACAAUCACAGCUCUAUUUGGCCAAACCUUAACCCAACAUUAAAUAUGUGAUUGUUAUUUUUAUGUGUAUAGUCUUGUCCUGUUAAAUCCUGGAUGACGCAUAAUGUGAUGAAAACUAUUUCCCAAUUUGGGAUUAAUGAAGUAAUACGCUGUUCUCUUUACACUUAUGUGCUUUUGAAGUUAGAACAGUAAGUUACUGUGCAUGAACCAUACUAGUACAGGAAGUGAACAGACCUGAUAUAUUUUAGUACAGGAAGUAAACAUCUGAGGUAUUCUAGUACAGGAAGUAAAUACAUCUGAGAUAUACUAGUACCAGAAGUAAACAUCUGAGGUAUUCUAGUACAGGAAGUAAACACAUCUGAGAUAUACUAGUACCAGAAGUAAACAUCUGAGGUAUUCAAGUACAGGAGGUAAACACAUCUGCAUAAGCCUGUUUCACCAGUUGUAUUAUUAAAGUAGUAAAAAGAGACUGUUUUCUGAAACGUUUCUUGAUCAUGAUAUGCAUACAAAUAGAAAGGCCUGCAUGUAUAGUAUUUUGC
ensembl:lncRNA